rnacentral:rRNA from 1 species
UACAGAGGUCCCAAGCGUUGUUCGGAUUCAUUGGGCGUAAAGGGUGUGUAGGUGGCGCCGUAAGUCGGGUGUGAAAUUUCGGAGCUUAACUCCGAAACUGCAUUCGAUACUGCGGUGCUUGAGGACUGGAGAGGAGACUGGAAUUCAUGGUGUAGCAGUGAAAUGCGUAGAGAUCAUGAGGAAGACCAGUGGCGAAGGCGGCUAUCUGGACAGAGUCUGACGCUGAGGCGCGAAAGCUAGGGGAGCAAACAGG